rnacentral:misc_RNA from 1 species
AGUGUCUUGUUUCGAUUCAGUGGUGCUGAGGAUCCGGGCCGCCAGGGCUCCGCCUCUUGGACUCGCCGACACCGGCGGCGCCGGUGGCGCCGUCCGUCGUCGACGCCUCCAUCUCCUCCUCCCGUAUUACCUUGUUACCGAGCGGCCGCCCCGCCCCCGCCAUCACGGCCGCGCCGUCGUCCCUCCUCCCCGUCCCCAGAUGCCUGCCGGCCUCGGUCGUCGUCACGGCGGACGACAGGAGGAGGACGACGCACAGGAGCGUGACGACCACGCCGGCCGUGGUGCUAGCCUUCGCCAUGCACACGUACUAUGCUACUCGAUCGAUCCCGGGCCGGCUACGAGGACCGCACUUCGUCGUCCCUGAUGCUCCGCCGAGGCGAGAGUGCGUACGGUGGUGGAUCAAGUGGAGGUGCCCGACGACUCCGAUGCUCCUCGAACGGCACGCGCGGGUUUAUAUAGGCGCGGCGCGGCGCGGGCGAGCGGCGGCCUGGGUCGAUCGCCCUCGAAGAGCCGCGCGCGCGGUGGUGGUAGGCCAGGGCUAUAGCUAGUGCUCGCUGACCCGAUCGGUUCGCGCGGCGGCGGUAAGGUCAAAUCCAUAUCGGUUUGGUGGCCUCUGCACUGCACUACUGCUCCGGCCGGCGGUCCAUGACCGGCCAUGCUCGCGUUUGCGUGCGUUUUGACCUGGCCGGCUGGCAGAUCGCGCGGCGCACCUUGCAUUGGGGGGUGUGCAUUGGCGCGCACUCUGCGUGCGUGUGCGUGCGUGCGCAUACAUAUAUGCCGAUGACGUGGGCUCAGCUGGCUAGCGGCAGG